rnacentral:lncRNA from 1 species
AGUGCGAAAGACGAAAUGUGAUAAUUUAAAUUAGUACAAACUGCAAAAGUCUAAGUACAACUCUACAAAGAAUUUGGUGUCACAAUGUCAUGGACCAUCUAUGAAUACUACAAAUAAAGUCUAAAUAGAAAUACACGAAUCUAUCUUUGAAUACGUAAAAACAGAAAGGAAAUAAUAGAAGGAGAUGCCAAGGCAUGCGGAUGUCUGCAGGACUACCUCAGGUCGCCUGAAUGGACUGAAGACAGCAACCUCACUGUGGUCCAAAAGCUGCAGCAUCGAGACCUGCACACAAUGUAGAGUAUAGUAUCAGCACAACCGACCCCAUAUGUUGGUAAGUGCCUAGCCUAACCCCGGCAAAGUGGUGACGAGGCUAGGACCAGACUACCAAAUAAACCUGUGCAGUUAAAUCGUAUACAGCAGAAAAUAAUGGCAAAAAUGUACAGUUAAGGAUAGUAGGGGGAAACAUGUUGCAGGGAACAUCAAGUAAUAAUAGAAGAAUAGCAGAUAAAUAUAAGGAACACCAAAGUUCAGUUAUCAAUAGGAAUCAGGAAUAAAAGACAAGUGCAUGGCAUCACCCUUCGUGUUUUUGCUCUCGUCCUCACCAUAAUAUCAAUAAAAAUCGGCACGACAUCACCCUUCAUGCAUUAACACUCUCUCACAAAUAUCAUACACGGCAUCACCCUUCGUGCUUUACACUCUCUCACUAAAAUCAUGCACGGGAUCACCCUUCGUAAUUUAACACUCAUCCUUACCCAAACAACAAUCACAAAGCAAUAAGGGCAAGGGAAUCAAUAAAAUUACAAUAAAAUUCCGGCAAUGAAACAAUAGUACAACAAUCAUAUCCCGCAAGGGAAACAAUACCAAAACAAUAACAUCCCGACAAGAGAGACAACAUCAAAAGUAACAACAUCCCGGAAAGUGAGACAAUAUCAUAAUCCUCUUUUCUUUUUCACAUUUACUUCACAACUCAAUUUACAAUUUGAGUCAAUGCUCUAUAAUGUUCAAUCGCCAAUUAUACUUCCACAAAUCACUUUACAACUUGAGCCAACGCUCUUCAAUGUUCAAAUACCAAUAUUACUCCCAUAAGCCUUGCUCAACAAUAUAAAUCAUCAUGUAAGGCAUGAACAAUACAAACGGAGUCACAUUAAUCAUAGUAUAAGACUCACAUGCUUGCUAAAUGAAUCAAUUCUAGUGCAUAAAAAUAGGUUUUAUAAAGAUUUCCCCAAAAAGUCAAAAAUCGACCUCGGACCCACAUGGUCAAAACCCAAGUUUCGAACAAAAACCCGAUUACCCAUUCACCCACGAACCCAAAUAUAUAAUUUGUUUUGAAAUCGGACCACAAAUCGAGAUCCAAAUCCCCAAAAUUUGAAAAACCUAAGUUCUACCCAAAACAUCCAAUUUCCCCUAUGAAAUCCCUUGAUAUUGAGUUGAAAUCAUGUGAAAAGAUGUUAAAGAUUAAAAAAAUGAGUUAGAAAUGACUUACUGUCACACAUCCUUUUUUACACUCCGAGGGGGUGUACGGGAGUUUUUCCAAUUAAAGUGACAUUAUUCGAAAUGGGAUUAGUUAAUUUAAUUUAUUGGAGUCUCCAUUUGGAAUAAUUUAAUUGGUGUCCCAAGUCAUCGAUUUUUUUAAAAUCCCUAAUCGAGGAAAUUUCGACUUUAUUUUAAAAGUCUGCGAACCAGAAAUUCUAAGUAAGGAAUUAUAUUAACACGGGAGAAGGUGUUAGGCAUUUCCGAAUUCCGUGGUUCGAGCACGGUCGCUUAAACUAUUAAUAAUUGGCCUAUUAUCAGAUUUACUACAUGUUUUAAACCUAUUGUGUAUUUUUAACUUUAUAACUGCUUUUAAUUAUUUAAUGUUACAUAAUGUGAAUCAUGUCAUAGGAACCAUACCCAUGAUCUACAACAUGUUUAAGUUAAUGAAAAGUUAUUUAAAGUUAUGGUCGGGUCACGUAAAUAUACCCCCGAAUUUGAGAAUUAGGUAUCAUAGCUACUUCAAGGGAACCGUACCCGUAGCCAUGAUGGUUUUAUUAUAAACGCGCCUAAAGCAAACUGCGAGUAUUUAUAGGGUUGUUUUCCUAUACUAAGUUAAUAUUAAUGUGAGGGUCAUAGGUUAUGGAUUUUAUUUGCGUAUGGCACACCUCAACUUAUUUUUGAAAGAAAAGAUUUGUAUUUUUUCUAAGGCAAAAUAAAGAUACUCCUAUUUUAAUCUAAUCUAAAAUUAGGUAUCAUAAACACGUCACAGAAACCGUACCCAUAGUUGUAAUAAUUUAAUAAUCGAAGGUAGAUGCUUGCUAGCUCUUUAUUUUCUCUUCGUGACCAAGGAGGUAAAGAAAACUAGGACAUGUAUUCAUCAAAGUGGAACUAAUAUCACUACAUCAAUCUAAAAUCACAUAAGUGUACCAACCACUAAACUUUGCCAUUGAAUGGAGAAGCACUUAGGAAGUAUCAGUAUUUGGAAACCACAAAACAAAGAGAAUAAGAAAAAUUACCAAUUGAUGGCAUUGAAACACUGCAAAUGCACUUGUAUCAUUGGCCAAGCGAAUGGCCACUUUUAAGAAUAGAUCAGUACACCUAAGCAGGUCCAGACUUUUAUAUAAAACAAGAAUUAAAUACAACGAAUAUAAAUGGAAGUAAUAGUUCUGGUCAUCUCAAUUACAAUUCUCAAAGAUGAUAAUGGACAUAAUACAUUCUAAUAUAUGCAGAAAGUAAUAAUAGCUAUCCUAAAUUGGGCAGAGCUAAUCUUCAGCUUAAUCUUCUUUACACCAACGACUUCAAUUCCAAUCCUUAGCUUUAGAUUUUACUGAUAUAACCAACUAGUGGCCAGAUAUGCAAACUAUAGCCAUGUACUCAGUAAUGACAGCUUUUUGGCAUCCCCAAUUUACUAAUUCCAUACAUAGAGUACUAUGACAACCUUCUGUUUGAAUUAUAGCUAAAUUUACAAAAAUUUAAACAAAACUUCAACCUCAUUCAAGACUAACAAAUGGUUUGACAACUAAUGAUAUAUGCUUAACUGACCAUAGAUAUCAAAUUGAUCCAUAUGAGUGUUAUAUCUCGAGCUACUGCACAUAAGCCGACUUUAAAUUCAUUCAAAUACAAAACGCAACUAAGUAAAUGUUCAACGUAUAUUAAUAAUGUAACAUCAAAUACAGCUAAGAGAGAUCGUGGCAUCAGUAACAAACAAGCAAACCAAAUAAAUGAUAGGGAAAUCAAAAUACCAGAUUUUUUGUUCAUUGACUCAAGCUGGUAUAAUUAUAAAGUGUAGAACUUACCUAAAUGCAGAAAGACAAAGAAUUCAGUAGCCUUUUGGAAUCCAGCAACAUCAAUGAUAAACAGCCAUAAAUUUGCGCUUUGACAACUUCGUUCAAGUCCAGAAAAGAGGAAAUUAAAGUUUUGAAACUCCAGUAAUCAAUACCCUUUUUAAAUAUGCUUUGAAAUCCAAUUUUCAAAACCCAGAAAAAUAGUAUAGAAGACCUCCUUGGAGAGGGGUGCCGUUACUGUUUUUUGUAGUUGAGACAAAGAGAGAUGAGAGCUAGGGAGUGAGGGUCUGUGAAGGUGAAGGUCUUCUUCUUCGUCUGUGUUGAGAAAUGAAGAAGCAAAACAGAAGAAGGGAGCUCGGGUUUGCGCCGUUCUCUGUUCUCUAAAGCGGGUCCGAUUUCUAUAUCCUUUUUUG